rnacentral:tRNA from 1 species
GCCUGUGUGGCUCAGUCGGUCGAGCGUCUGACUUCAGCUCAGGUCACGAUCUCAUGGUCCGUGAGUUUGAGCCCCGUGUCAGGCU